AAGUCUAACCACUUUUUGCCAAAAUUUUACAUGGUGUUCAGUUCCAUUAUACAAAAUGAUGUAUCAAAAUUCAAAAAAAAAUUAGAAUAGAAGAACUAAACACCCUCUAAUUAUACAAAAUGAUGUACCAAAAUUCAAAAUUUUUUAGAAUCAAAGAACUAAACACCCUCUAAAUGCCCUGCUUGUUUGCAACUAAGUUACACGGAUACGGAUACGUGUAUCAGUAUCCGAAGGAUACGGAUACGCGGAUACGGCAAUUUCCUAAAAAACCCGAUACGUGGAUACGUUUACUAUUUAAAAAAUAAAAUUAAAAUAAUAAUAAUGCAUGUCUGAAUUUUAAACUGGUAAAAACAAAACAUCACAAUGAACUACUCAAGAGUAUUAUUAUUACAACAUAGCAGCAGCAGAUUCCUAUUUGGCUAUUCCUCAUUUGUUUCAUUGUCAUUGUCAUCCACAAUAUCAACAGAUGGCUCAUCCAGACCAAAAGACACCGCUUGCAGUUCAGGUUCAUCAAGGGACAGAUCAGCCACUUCUAGAAUGCCAACACCACCAAGUGAAUCAAAAGAAUCCCCUCCUACAUCCCACAUCCUUGUUUCUCCUGUCUUGUAUGCAUCAGUUCUUCUUGAUAGAUGUCUCAGAUUUGAGUGCACAAAGACCAAAUCUUCAGCACGCUCUGGAGUUAAGACAUUUCUCUUGACACUAUGGACAAAGCUAUAGGUGCUCCAGUUUCUUUCACAGCAAGAAGAUGACGCUGGCUGGCUAAGUGUAACAUUCCAAAAAUUCACAUUCAAAAAUCACUCGCAUUAAAAGAAUUAUUUUCAAAAUAUAUUUCAAAAACUAUAAAUCAUUUGAGCUCUAUAGUAUCUCCAUCUAAUUCUUUUUCCAUCCAUUCUAAUUAUCCAUCUUUAAAUAUAACCUGCACCGCAUGGCAUGAGCAUCAUAUGUCCGCUACUUAUCCCUCUUGCUCGCUCGCUCUGCCCGAUACCCGGCAACGGCGCGUGCGCCGACCCCACCACCAUCAGCGCCGCAGCGCACUCACGCCCGGCCCCCUCGCCGAGCGCACUCGCUCGCGCGCGCACCGCGGCAUGCGGGCCCCACCUCUUGCCUUUUCCCGCGCCUCUUUUGCUGUACAAAAAGAUAGCAAGUACCAGCAAGCUUACAUGCGAGAAAACAUAGCAGUGCACCUACACGAAUAUAUAUCUCAUGCAUGCAUGCAGGACAAGCAUGCCACCGUCCAUUUGCAUGCACCUGCAUGCAAAGGACAUGGUGAUUAGGCACCGUCCAUUUGCACGCACCGUGCAUGCAAAUGAGACAUUGCCAUUUGCAUGAAAAUUAGGCACCGUCCACCGUCCUGUCGUCCUGUGCCAUGCACUACAGUAGUAAUUCUAAUGGCACGAAGCUGAGCACCAGAGGCAUAACCUCACUCCUCUGGCUAUAAAAAGCCAGCCUCGGAUGCUCACUCUCACCACCCGAGAAACACGUUCACUCACUCGCUCACUCACUCUCACUUCGCGUAUACCGUAUACGGCCAUACGCACAAGCUGAGCUCGACUGUCGUCGCAAGACGAGGUGAGCAGCUCAUGAGCAUCUCCUUGCUCUUCUCUGUCUUUCUGUAGUAUUUUUUCUGUAUUUUUCCAUGUAUUUGUCUGUACCGGUUCACUGCCAAGAAUUCCACGAAUAGAACCAUGACAUACAGAAGAGUUCUAAUGACCCCUGCUAAUUUCUCUCUAACCAUGCAUGUGUGGGCCAAGCAUUAACUCCAAAUAGUACAUGCAUGCAUGCAACAUGCACUACCAGCCAAACAAAUGCCCACGUGAAGCAUCCAUUCCUUAAUCAUCGUUAGCCUUUUUCGCAUGAUUAAAUUCCGGCCAUUUCACAAAUGCCACAUGCUAACUCUGAUUUCAAUAAUUCUUUUUCCUAAAUUCAUCUAAAAUCAUGAUCUAGCUUCCAUAUUAAUUUCAUGAUUUUUGGAGCUCAUUUAAAUUUAUAUGAUUAUUUAUCUGUGCCUGUUGUCUGUGUCGUUCGUCGCGUAUUUUAGUUGACGGAGUGAACGAGCCGGAAAACGAGAACGUUGGAGACGAGUACCGCGAGUUUGACGCCGAGGACCCGGACUGUCAGCAGGAGUUUACCGAGGACGCCGACGGAGGCAAGUCCAACCGAUCCCCUUUGAUGCAUAUUGAUCCUAUUUUUAAACACAACCCGUAGAAGCCGUUUUAAAUAUUGCAUGUACGAUAUAUGUACGGAGUAUUUUUGCUGCUUAGUUAAAACCUGUUGAAUAGCCAUCCUUGAAUUGAUAUUACCCGGUAAUUGUCUUGUUCGAACCUAGGAACAAAUAAUAUGCUAUGACAGAAAUAUUAUUAUUUAGUAUGCUUAGGACUUGUUACUCAUCCUGUAUACUCAUCGCUAUAUUUUUCAAAUAUAAUGAUUUUAAAAGUAAAAGGUGUGAGUGGUGAAAAUAAAUUGUGGGUAUUGUGAAAGGGUUAAUGGACAAGUUAUAGAUGUGAUCUCUAUGGAGAUGGGGCGGAUGGGAUCUCUUUUGGGAUGCCCUGGUGUUGUGGCUUAUACCUUGCGGGGUUAAGCGUGAAGAUAUCCGCCUUGUCUCGAUUAAGGACUGAGUUGAUGAUUCAUCUUGCCUAACUCAUUUAUCGUACAACCACUCGCCUUGCAUGGGAAAGGCUUAGUCUAAAUCCCUCUAGUUAGUAUGACAAUCACCUGGAGGCAGGUGUGCAACAGGACACUAAGUGAUGUAUGUGAAAUUGUGAAAAUAUAUGAAAAGAGCUUUGUGAAUUAUUGUGGUAUCAUGAGAUGUGGCCUUAGUGUUCCCGUGGUGAGCGUCAUUACUUAGCUAUGGAGGGUAAUGACUUUGAUGGAUCUGUGCUUGCACGACGGUGUAAGUUAUGGUAUCCUACUUGUGGGAAAAGUGUACAACCUCUGCAGAGUGUAAAUCUAUCUGGAUAGCCGUGUCCGCGGUCUCGGACGGGUUAUGGUUUGGUUUCAACAACUAGAUGGGUUGGGAUGAGUGAAAACAUGUGAGAGUGUGAUUUUGGAAAUAAAUGGUUGACUGCCAUUGUGUUGUGGGAACAAGGGUUCAACAACACUUAAAAUUGUGAUCAAACCCCCAUUUUCAGAAAUACUAUCAUAUGUGGAAAAAGAGGUCUUUUACAACAGUAUUUGUGAAAUGAAACCUUGCAUGUGUAAAAAGAUAGCUUUAUGCAAAUAAAACUAAGCCUCAUCCUUGAUUUAUCCAUAUACAUAUAUACUGUUAUCCCCUUCCGUAGGGUAAGGUUGGAUUUGCUGAGUACUUUGUACUCACCCUUGCUUUAUUAAACAGAGGAAGAUCCGGACUUCGAUCCCGAAGUGGCGUUCGAGUAAGGUCGUGUCUGCACCCAACUAAGCCUGUGGCAUUGGGACUCGUCAGAUGUUCGAUGGCGAUAUCAUUUGUUUCUGGGUCCUUUGGACCUGUGUUGUAUUUUGGUGUCUUAUUAUUAUAGCGUGCCUUCCUUGUCCACGCUUUCCAAGACUACUGCGCUGAAACUUAUCUGAUGUAAUAAAUGUGUUACUAGCCUCCUGGGACUAGUAUUGUAUCACAUUUGAGUUCCUGGUUUACCAGGGGCGCUUCAGGUGGUAUCAGAGCCGUAGUUGGCUGUAGGACGCGACCUUAGGCUUUUCUGGACUAGUAUUUUACUAAAUAAACAUAUUUUACAAAAGUUCUUACCCUCUUCCCUCUAUUUGAAAAAAAAAAUAUUUACUCUCAUCUAUGUCUCUCAGAUGGCCGAAGGAGUUUGGACCAACAGUUACUGUCCAAGUGUAGAAGGCUUUCCCAAGCUCUUGUAUGCUACCAUGCAGAAACUUGGAAUCAAGGAUCGCCCAGAAUAUGAAGGCAGAGAAUAUGAAGAGCAUGAGACCGAGCGGUGUGAAGUUACCGUCUAUAUUGGGAAAAGUGAGGACUUUCCUAACAUAGCUGAAGCUUGGAGUAUGACUACGAUCGGAUUUCGGUUUGCAGAUACAUAUCAAGCCGUCGCCCGCAAAGCCUUGAGGUACCUAUGCCAGAUCUACGAGAAGCCCAUCACCCGUACACCUAUGAGGUUCUUUCCACCCGACGAAAAAGACCGACCAGUUUGGAGGACCCGCAUGGAGCUCUUGCAAGGACAUUACUCACUUGAAGAUGACCCAACUGUGGUAUUCAUGACCACGUACCUUCUUGCUCUAGAUAAGCAAUAUGAUGAGCAGGCCUCGGAGUUAAGAAAAUGCAUCCAUCGUGCGUAGGAAGCCGAGAUCAUAGUUAGAAAGCUCCAUGUGCAGCUUGCAGAAGCUCAGGCCCAAGCAGCUGCAGCCGAGAGUCGUGAAACCACCAUUGCUGAAGACCGCCAUGCUCAGGAGUUGAAGGAUGCCUACCUUAUCACCAGGAUCAAAAGAAGGAUGUUAGCAGUGGAAGACCAAGAGCCCAUAAUCCUAAAAGGAAUCCCAAUCAUGUCCCUAAAAACCAAAAGCAAGAUGGACAUAGAAGGGCCAUCAGCUCCCCCACCCACAGAAGCCUCUCAUGAAGCUUUAGAGUUGGAGCCCAGUAAGGAAGAAGGAUUUCCCCUCCUCACGCAGCCACCACCAAGGGAAGACGGUGACCCACCUCUUAGUCCAAAAGAAGAACCACAAAUGCCGGAAGCAUGAUCCUCCUCAACACCAAGGGAAUGAAGCCGUUCUGUCCGAAGAAGUUGAAGAAUAGUAACACCUAGUUCCUCCUUAUGUCUUGGGGAAGUGAAGUUUACUUCACUUUUGUUCAACCCCCAAAGUAGAUGAACCGUAUUGUAGUACGCUUAUUUCCUCCAUUACUAUGUUGUAAACCGCCCUCUUAUUCAAAAUAUAUAUUUGUGCUUGUUGGUUGUGCUAAAUAAUUGAGUGCUCUAUGUUGUUCCCUUACGGGAUAGCAAGUCUUAAGACUUGCACCUUUUUAAAAUAUAACGCCUUAACAAAAAAAAAACAACAUCACUCAAUAGAUCUAACCCUUAUCUAAUGCUUUCUCAUCUUAACCAACAGAUGCCUCCCAAACCAGCUACCCGCUCUCAACCAAGUGGUCGUGCUGCUAGUAGACAAAGCCAAAAUCCAAAUGGAAGUCAAGCCAAUGCAAAUGUGGAUGGUAUUCAUGAAGAUGAAGUGAGUCAGACUAGGAACCAUAAUGAAGGAGAUGACUUGCCCCCUCCUCCAGUAAUUGACUUGGCACAAGUCAUGGCAACUCAGACUCGCCUUCUGGAGACCUUGGCUCAAGGCAUGAACCGCCCUAGGAACAACCGUGGAGCCGGAGUCCAAGACAAGAUGACUGAGUUCAUGAGGCUUAAGCCACCCACCUUUACUGGAUCUGACAACCCCAUGGAAGCAGAUGAUUGGCUUAAGGUGAUUGAAAGAAAGUUGGACACAAUCCACUGUGAUGGAAGGGAUAGAGUUCUGCUAGCAUCUCAUCAGCUGACAUGAAUUGCCCUUUCUUGGUGGGAAGCCUAUAGUGGAGCUGUGGACAAUGCCAACACGAUCACAUGGGAAGAAUUUGUGGAUGAAUUCCGCCGGUACCACAUUCCAGAUGGAAUCAUGAAGCUAAAGGCUGAUGAAUUUCGCAACUUGAAGCAAGGAAAUAAAACCCUGAGUGAAUACAUCUUCCAAUUCACUGAGUUGUCUCGCUAUGCCCCAGAAUUGGUCAACACUGAUGCUAAGAAGCAGACAAAGUUCAUAGAAGGAUUGACCUGUGAGCUUAGAACCCUCAUGACCCCACAGAUCUAUCCAGACUUCAACACCUUGAUGAACAGGACCAUUCUGACUGAUGUGGCCAAGACUGAAGAAAGGAAAGAGAACAAGCGCAAGUUUCUAGAGCGCAAGGUUCAAGAUGGUGCUAGAUCCCAGAGGCUGAAAACCUUUAGCCAACCAAGCCAGCGGACUCAAGCCCCAAUGCAGUUUCGCUCUCCUGCUAGUGUCUCCAAUAACCAAAUGCAGUCAUCAUAUCAGCCCAAGACAACCUAUCAGAAUCAAACUUAUGGCAAGACUCAACAGAACAGCAUUGGUCAAGUCACAAACAAUGUUAGGACUUGCUUUAAUUGCCAUGAGACUGGACACUACAUCGCCAACUGUCCCUACAAGAACAACCCACCAGCAGUAUCCACUCAGUCCCACACUGUUAAUGGACCAAGACCUGCAGUGUCUGGAGUCAACCGUGGUUUCCCUCGCAACAAUAGCAACACCAACAAUAAUAGCCAGAUGAUGAAGCAACCUCAACAAUCCUAUGGUAGAGCCCGUGUCAACCAUAUUCAUGCUCAGGAUGCUCAGACUGCUUCAGGAGUGGUACUUGGUGAGUUCUUAGUCGAUUCAGUACUUGCAACAGUAUUAUUUGAUUCUGGAGCAUCACAUUCAUUCAUAUCAUCAAGUUUUGUUGAGAAGCAUCAAAUACCCACAGUACUACUAAAGUUACCCCUAAUAACUCGAACACCUGGGUCUGACAUCAAAUGUCAUCUUGGUUGUUCAAAUGUAAGGAUCAUUCUAAGUGGAGUAGUUUUCUUAGGAGACUUAGUAGUGCUCAAGUCCAAAGGAAUAGAUGUUAUCCUUGGAAUGGAUUGGUUAACCAGACACAAUGGAAUUAUUAGUUGUGCAACCAAGGAAGUAUCAUUAGUUAACCAUGAAGGGAUUAAAGUGAAAUGCCAAACCCGAGGGUCUAAAGUUAAUCCAAUGGUCUUCAACUUGGAUGCAAGGACCAUAGAGGAAGUACCAAUAGUGCAAGAAUACCCUGAUGUAUUCCCUGAGGAACUACCUGGAAUGCCACCAGAUAGGGAUAUAGAGUUCAUCAUUGAUCUUAUCCCUGGGACUGCCCCCAUAGCCAAGAGACCUUACAGAAUGGCUCCGGCAGAGUUAGCUGAACUAAAAGAGCAGCUAAGAGAAUUGCAGCAGAAAGGUUAUAUUAGACCUAGUUCUUCACCAUGGGGAGCACCAGUCGUGUUUGUGAAGAAGAAAGAUGGAAGUAUGAGGAUGUGUGUGGAUUAUAGGUCCCUAAAUGAAGUCACCAUCAAGAAUAAGUAUCCCCUGCCAAGGAUAGAUGACCUUUUUGAUCAGCUUAAAGGAGCCAAGUAUUUCUCUAAGAUUGAUUUGAGAUCAGGUUAUCACCAGCUCAAGAUCAAGAAUAGUGAUGUUCCCAAGACAGCCUUUGUAACCAGAUAUGGACAAUAUGAGUUUACAGUGAUGUCCUUUGGAUUAACCAAUGCCCCUGCCUAUUUCAUGAACCUCAUGAAUAAGGUAUUCAUGGAAGAGUUAGAUAAGUUUGUUGUAGUCUUCAUUGAUGACAUACUUAUCUACUCUAAGAGUGCUGAAGAACAUGGGCAACACUUGAGAGUAGUGUUGGAAAAGCUAAGAAGACACAAGUUGUAUGCUAAAUUCAGCAAGUGUGAAUUUUGGCUUGAGAAGGUUGCAUUUCUAGGCCAUAUCUUGACAGCUGAAGGAGUUGCAGUUGACCCUGAGAAAGUAGAAGCUGUCUCCCAUUGGCAGCAACCCACCAAUGUGAGUGAGGUUAGAAGUUUUCUUGGAUUAGCUAGAUAUUAUCGAAGGUUUAUAGAAGGAUUUUCCAAGAUAGCCAGACCCAUGACAGAGCUUCUUAGGAAGGAUAAGAAAUUCACUUGGACAGAAUCAUGUGAGAAGAGUUUCCAAGAGUUGAAGAAGAGACUAACAACAGCACCAGUGUUAACCUUGCCAGACAUUCAUCAAGAUUUCAUCAUAUACUGUGAUGCCUCAAGACAAGGUUUAGGAUGUGUUCUCAUGCAAGGAGGAAAAGUGGUUGCUUAUGCAUCUCGUCAGCUUAGACCUCAUGAGCAAAAUUACCCUACCCAUGAUUUGGAGUUAGCAGCUAUAGUACAUGCUCUCAAGAUUUGGAGACACUACCUCAUUGGAAACAAGUGUGAAAUCUACACUGAUCACAAGAGUUUGAAGUACAUCUUCACACAGUCAGACUUGAACCUAAGGCAAAGAAGAUGGUUAGAAUUAAUCAAGGACUAUAACCUUGAGAUUCAUUACCACCCAGGAAAGGCCAACGUGGUAGCAGAUGCCCUAAGCAGAAAGUCAUAUGGUCAGCAGAAGAGAUAGCACAAUUGAACAUGCAUAUAGUACGCCAACCUCAAAAUGGCAGUCUAAUGGUGCAGCCAACUCUUGUGGAAGAAAUCAAGCAGACACAACAUAAGGAUAAGGAUCUGAUGAAGAUUCGUGAGCAAACUGGAGAAAAUAAAGCUCCAUACUUUAGAGUGGAUAACAAAGGAGUAUUGUGGUAUAAAAACAGAAUUUGUGUGCCCAAUGAGAGAAAGUUUCAAGAAUUAAUCCUUGAUGAAGCCCAUAACUCAGCUUAUUCUAUCCACCCUGGUGCCACCAAGAUGUACAUGGACCUAAAAGAAAGAUAUUGGUGGAAUGGCAUGAAAGCUGAUGUGGCACGAUUUAUUGCACAAUGUGAUGUAUGCCAAAGGGUUAAAGCAGAGCAUCAGAAACCAGCAGGCUUGCUCCAGCCAUUGCCUAUUCCUGUUUGGAAAUGGGAUGAGAUAGGCAUGGAUUUUGUGAAUGGAUUACCCAAAACUCUGAAAGGAAAUGAUUCAAUAUGGGUAAUAGUGGACCGCCUUACAAAGGUUGCUCACUUCAUACCUGUACGCACCAAAUAUAGUGGAGACAAGUUAGCCCAGCUAUAUGUGGAUAACAUAGUCAAAUUGCAUGGUGUGCCAAGUAGGAUUGUAUCUGACCGAGGUACCCAAUUUACCUCUAAGUUCUGGAAAAGUUUGCAUGAAGCUAUGGGAACCAAGCUAGAUUUUAGCUCAGCUUAUCAUCCUCAAACAGAUGGUCAGACUGAAAGAAUAAAUCAGAUUAUGGAAGAUAUGCUAAGAGCAUGUGUGCUCACGUAUGGUAAAGAUUGGGAGAAAAGCCUAACUUAUGCAGAGUUCUCCUAUAAUAAUAGUUACCAAGCUAGUUUGGGCAUGUCACCUUUUGAGGCCCUAUAUGGAAGAAAAUAUAGAACCCCAUUGAUGUGGUCAGAAGUUGGAGAACGAACUUUGCUUGGACCAGCCCUUAUAAAAGAAGCAGAAGAUCGUGUAGCUGAAAUCAGAGAAAAAUUGAAAGAGGCACAAUCACGUCAAAAGAGCUAUUCUGAUAAAAGAAGGCGGGAGUUAAGUUUUGCAGUUGGAGAUUUUGUGUAUGUCAAAGUCUCUCCUAUUCGAGGAACUCGAAGGUUCCAAGUUAGAGGCAAGCUAGCACCACGGUAUAUUGGACCAUAUCAAGUAUUACAGAAGAUUGGAGCUGUAGCCUAUCGUGUUCAGCUACCUGAAGAAAUGUCAGAUAUACACAAUGUGUUUCAUGUCUCCCAAUUGAAGAAAUGUCUCAGAGUACCAGAGGAACAAAUAUCGCCAGAUACAGUUGAUUUACAAGAUGACCUAAGAUAUCAAGAAGUGCCAAUAAAAAUCCUAGACACAGUCACCAAGCAAACUCGAACGACCACAGUCCGAAUUUGUCGUGUUCAAUGGAGUAGACACACAGAAGCAGAAGCAACAUGGGAAAGAGAGGAUGCCCUGAGAAAAGAGUUUCCCCAUCUAUUUAGGACCCAGCCGAAUCUCGAGGACGAGAUUCCUUUUAAGUGGGGUAGGUUUGUAGCAUCCCAAAAAUUCACAUUCAAAAAUCACUCGCAUUAAAAAAAUUAUUUUCAAAAUAUAUUUCAAAAACUAUAAAUCAUUUGAGCUCUAUAGUAUCUCCAUCUAAUUCUUUUUCCAUCCAUUCUAAUUAUCCAUCUUUAAAUAUAACCUGCACCGCAUGGCAUGAGCAUCAUAUGUCCGCUACUUAUCCCUCUUGCUCGCUCGCUCUGCCCGAUACCCGGCAACGGCGCGUGCGCCGACCCCACCACCAUCAGCGCCGCAGCGCACUCACGCCCGGCCCCCUCGCCGAGCGCACUCGCUCGCGCGCGCACCGCGGCAUGCGGGCCCCACCUCUUGCCUUUUCCCGCGCCUCUUUUGCUGUACAAAAAGAUAGCAAGUACCAGCAAGCUUACAUGCGAGAAAACAUAGCAGUGCACCUACACGAAUAUAUAUCUCAUGCAUGCAUGCAGGACAAGCAUGCCACCGUCCAUUUGCAUGCACCUGCAUGCAAAGGACAUGGUGAUUAGGCACCGUCCAUUUGCACGCACCGUGCAUGCAAAUGAGACAUUGCCAUUUGCAUGAAAAUUAGGCACCGUCCACCGUCCUGUCGUCCUGUGUAGCCAUGCACUACAGUAGCAAUUCUAAUGGCACGAAGCUGAGCACCAGAGGCAUAACCUCACUCCUCUGGCUAUAAAAAGCCAGCCUCGGAUGCUCACUCUCACCACCCGAGAAACACGUUCACUCACUCGCUCACUCACUCUCACUUCGCGUAUACCGUAUACGGCCAUACGCACAAGCUGAGCUCGACUGUCGUCGCAAGACGAGGUGAGCAGCUCAUGAGCAUCUCCUUGCUCUUCUCUGUCUUUCUGUAGUUUUUUUUCUGUAUUUUUCCAUGUAUUUGUCUGUACCGGUUCACUGCCAAGAAUUCCACGAAUAGAACCAUGACAUACAGAAGAGUUCUAAUGACCCCUGCUAAUUUCUCUCUAACCAUGCAUGUGUGGGCCAAGCAUUAACUCCAAAUAGUACAUGCAUGCAUGCAACAUGCACUACCAGCCAAACAAAUGCCCACGUGAAGCAUCCAUUCCUUAAUCAUCGUUAGCCUUUUUCGCAUGAUUAAGUUCCGGCCAUUUCACAAAUGCCACAUGCUAACUCUGAUUUCAAUAAUUCUUUUUCCUAAAUUCAUCUAAAAUCAUGAUCUACCUUCCAUAUUAAUUUCAUGAUUUUUGGAGCUCAUUUAAAUUUAUAUGAUUAUUUAUCUGUGCCUGUUGUCUGUGUCGUUCGUCGCGUAUUUUAGUUGACGGAGUGAACGAGCCGGAAAACGAGAACGUUGGAGACGAGUACCGCGAGUUUGACGCCGAGGACCCGGACUGUCAGCAGGAGUUUACCGAGGACGCCGACGGAGGCAAGUCCAACCGAUCCCCUUUGAUGCAUAUUGAUCCUAUUUUUAAACACAACCCGUAGAAGCCGUUUUAAAUAUUGCAUGUACGAUAUAUGUACGGAGUAUUUUUGCUGCUUAGUUAAAACCUGUUGAAUAGCCAUCCUUGAAUUGAUAUUACCCGGUAAUUGUCUUGUUCGAACCUAGGAACAAAUAAUAUGCUAUGACAGAAAUAUUAUUAUUUAGUAUGCUUAGGACUUGUUACUCAUCCUGUAUACUCAUCGCUAUAUUUUUCAAAUAUAAUGAUUUUAAAAGUAAAAGGUGUGAGUGGUGAAAAUAAAUUGUGGGUAUUGUGAAAGGGUUAAUGGACAAGUUAUAGAUGUGAUCUCUAUGGAGAUGGGGCGGAUGGGAUCUCUUUUGGGAUGCCCUGGUGUUGUGGCUUAUACCUUGCGGGGUUAAGCGUGAAGAUAUCCGCCUUGUCUCGAUUAAGGACUGAGUUGAUGAUUCAUCUUGCCUAACUCAUUUAUCGUACAACCACUCGCCUUGCAUGGGAAAGGCUUAGUCUAAAUCCCUCUAGUUAGUAUGGCAAUCACCUGGAGGCAGGUGUGCAACGGGACACUAAGUGAUGUAUGUGAAAUUGUGGAAAUAUAUGAAAAGAGCUUUGUGAAUUAUUGUGGUAUCAUGAGAUGUGGCCUUAGUGUUCCCGUGGUGAGCGUCAUUACUUAGCUAUGGAGGGUAAUGACUUUGAUGGAUCUGUGCUUGCACGACGGUGUAAGUUAUGGUAUCCUACUUGUGGGAAAAGUGUACAACCUCUGCAGAGUGUAAAUCUAUCUGGAUAGCCGUGUCCGCGGUCUCGGACGGGUUAUGGUUUGGUUUCAACAACUAGAUGGGUUGGGAUGAGUGAAAACAUGUGAGAGAGUGUGAUUUUGGAAAUAAAUGGUUGACUGCCAUUGUGUUGUGGAAACAAGGGUUCAACAACACUUAAAAGUGUGAUCAAACCCCCAUUUUCAGAAAUACUAUCAUAUGUGGAAAAAGAGGUCUUUUACAACAGUAUUUGUGAAAUGAAACCUUGCAUGUGUAAAAAGAUAGCUUUAUGCAAAUAAAACUAAGCCUCAUCCUUGAUUUAUCCAUAUACAUAUAUACUGUUAUCCCCUUCCGUAGGGUAAGGUUGGAUUUGCUGAGUACUUUGUACUCACCCUUGCUUUAUUAAACAGAGGAAGAUCCGGACUUCGAUCCCGAAGUGGCGUUCGAGUAAGGUCGUGUCUGCACCCAACUAAGCCUGUGGCAUUGGGACUCGUCAGAUGUUCGAUGGCGAUAUCGUUUGUUUCUGGGUCCUUUGGACCUGUGUUGUAUUUUGGUGUCUUAUUAUUAUAGCGUGCCUUCCUUGUCCACGCUUUCCAAGACUACUGCGCUGAAACUUAUCUGAUGUAAUAAAUGUGUUACUAGCCUCCUGGGACUAGUAUUGUAUCACAUUUGAGUUCCUGGUUUACCAGGGGCGCUUCACUAAGCAAUUUCAUGGCCAAACUCAUCAAUUGGGGAGCAGACUGUCCAUGAUUUGUCCACCAAGUCAUAGGGGAAACAGCCCAUCUAUCAUGGAUUGAAUCAGGAUCAUUAAAUUCUUCUGAACAACUAGAGAACCUUGAGUCUUUUACUUUAGCCAAUUCAUCUGACAUGGGAAAGAACUUCUUGAAGCAAACCAUCCUCAUUUUUGAUACCUCUUUAUCCUUGUGGGGUGGUUCACGGCCUGGACCUUCUUCAAGCCACUUUUUGCUAUAAUAUCUGCAAUUAGCAAUUCAGCAAUAUGGUUUUAGUGAAUGAAAAAAAUCUGCACAGACUAUUCAAGUGAAUGAAAAAAAUCUCAAUGGCAAUUUGUACCUUGGAUUAAGUGAAUGAGCUAAACAAUGAAGUGGAUUAUUUCCAUUUGUCCACCUAGCAAUCAAUAUGUCAUAAAUAACCGAGUACAAGUCUGAUUGCUCAUCUUCUUGCUUUCCCUCAUAUCGAUAUAUGACUUUCUUCACUUUCUCUAUCAUUGAAUCCCACAUCUCAUAAACUAAGUGAAGACAUGGUGUGUCGGUGUCUGUCAAACGAAUCAUUUCAUAUAUAGGAGUAGUGAUCUUAAGAAUGUAGUCCACCUUGUCCCACCAUACAUCAUUAAGUAUCAAGUCCUUGACAAUUUGGGCUGUUGGAGUUGGAGAAUCAUCUCUGACUUCUCUGUACACACUCCAUUUGUCACUAAUCACCAUUUGUUGAAGGGCUGAUUUUACCUCAACAAACCGCUUCAACAUACAUACAACAGAGGCAAAUCUUGUUUCAGCAAUAGAAAGUAACUUCAAACGGCCGAACUCAUUGAACAUUGAAAGCCGCAUGCCAUGAUUCAUAAUGAAAUUCUUUAUCAUAGCAGCCUCAGUUUUAACAUCAUGUAUAAAUUCAAGUUGCCCCCAAGUAAAUAAUUCUUCAUCAGAAGGAUUGUUUCCUAUUUUAGGUUCACAUAUACUUUUCAAAGCAAGAUUGAGGGUGUGCACAACACAUGGUGUCCAAAAUAUGUUAUCAUACUCAGAUUCUAUUAUGAGACCAGCACCUUUGCAAUUUGCAGCAUUGUCUGUAAUGAUUUGAACUACAUUAUGUCGACCUACUUCUUCAAUUAUGCCCUUCAACUUUUCUGCAAUGUAUUCUUUGGAUUUGUAAUCACCUUCACAAUUAUCAGCCCUCAAGAACAUAGGUGACUUGUCAGAAACAGCAACAAAAUUAAUGAUUGGUCGCCUCUGAGGAUCAGACCAACCAUCAGAGCAGAUUGUGACUCCCUUCUCUGCCCAUGUGCUCUUUGUGCUCUCCAAAGUCUCUAUGUGCCUCCUUUCUUGCUUCAAAAGUCCCUCUCUAACUCUGUUGUAACCAGGAAUCACAUAACCUUGCAUGUUGCGGCUGCAAGCAAAGGUAAAGGCUUCUCGAAGAUAUGGAUUUCUCAGAAAAUUGAACGAUACCCCUCCAGAAUAAAUUGCUCUACUGAUUAAAGCAUCCAAGUGCUUACGGUCUUCCAAAGCCCAAGCCUUUUCCAAUGCAGAAACAGGCCCUGUCUUGUUUCUCUUGUUGCCGUCAGUAUUGCUUGAGGAAGGAGCAGUAGGCAAAGAAACAGUUCUUGACUUGGAUCUUUCCACUAGAUUCUUGCACCUUUCAAUUUCCUUCCUCAUUUCACUAAGCAUUUCAUAUGUAACAUUAGGACAUUUACCUAUUCCCUUUCCUCCCUUCUGCAGCAAAUGAGCUUCAACUCUAGUGUAACUACUCAGUUUUUGCAUUGGACAGUACUUGCAGCGCCACAUAGCAUUCCCUCCACCAGUUCUAGGCUUCUCCAGAAUGGUGACAUGAUCCCAAAGUGGAGCCUUGAUGUCUGUUGUAUUUGUGGCUGCAGAUCCUAUGCUAUGACUAGCACUUGCACUAGCGUUGCUCAUAUUUGGAGAUGCCAUCUACUGCAUACAAGAAUACAAGCAACAAGAACUCACUAACUGCAUAUCGAGGGGGCAAAGAAAUUCGUCACUGGAACCACAAGAUGAGGAACAACUGAAGAAGGGGAUGAACUCACGGGAAGAGGAGAUUGAGAACAGAGAAGGGAGUGAACUCACAGGAGUUCCCCGGAUCCACGUCGCAGGGAUGGAGCCUCGUCGCCGGUGGCCGGCGAGCGGAGGCGGAGGCUCGUCGCGGUGGCCGGCGAGCGGGGAUAAGACUCGUCGCCGGUGGCCGGCAGCGGAGGCGGAGGCGCGUCGCCGGUGGCCAGCGAGCGGAGGCGGAGGCUCGUCGCGGUGGCCGGCGGGCAGCGAGCAGGGGAGGCGCAGCCGCGCGGGAUGCGAGUGCGACGGCGCGACGCGAGCGAGCAGGGGAUGUCCAGGUUAGGGCGUGGCGUCGGGGAUAGGAUAUGCCCCUGUUAUUGGGCUGGGCCGUAUCCCCAAGGCUGAUACGUAUCAGCCCACGUAUCAGAUAAUUGCGAAAAUAAUAAAAAUUUGGAUACUUCCAGGAUACGUAUCCAUGCCGUAUCAGACACGUAUCCGUAUCCGAAACGUAUCGGAUACGCGAUACGCGCCUUCCUGCAAGUAUCCGUGUAACAUAGGUUUGCAAGCUUCAGAACUGAAGCUACGGCAAGAGAUUACACCUCAUAAGACGUGGACAGUGAAUAAACAGUAACAAGUCAAUACACAUGCUCGUUCUAUAGUGAAUUCAGUUCAAAGUGAAUACCGAACUGUUUUUUCACCUCUUCUUUCAGAGUUUCAGUAGGUUGUGCAGCUCACCUCA
rnacentral:lncRNA from 1 species